rnacentral:lncRNA from 1 species
ACGUUCCAGUCAUAUAAAAUUUUCCGAAGUAGUUGGCACAGAGAUAGAACUAUAACUUUAUAAGCAGAAAUAAGAAGGUUCCAAGUCAGUGAGAAAGGCAUCACCGAAAGUGCAGGGCAGCCCUAUUCAUACAUGGCCUCCUAUGAAUACAGAAUUCCCGGGACCAACUGCAGAAAAACAACUAUUUGUGCAAAAAAAUAAGAACUGGACUCUUCAGCUGGAAGGCUCACCUGUCAAUUAACUAUGACAAAAGGAAUUCUCAGUUCUCACUGCCUAACAACACUAUAGAGUAUAGCUAAACACCCUGUAUUCAAUCAUGCAUUCCUCAUCUCUUGGCAAGAGAUUUCCAGCAAAUAAAAGGAUUCAUCGAAGAUGGCCAACAAACGGUACGCAAGCUUCUUCCUGUUCUUUAUGAUGCCAUUUUCUCUCCUGCACAAAUCGUACCCGCAGUUGGUGAAUCAAUCUAGUGAUGAACACCAAAUCCUCCUUGAGAUCAAGAGACACUGGGGGAGCUCACCUGUUUUAGGUAGAUGGAGCUCCAAUUCUGCUGCUCACUGCAAUUGGGGAGGAAUCACAUGCACAGAUGGUGUGGUGACUGGCAUCUCUCUACCAAAUC